AGAACAGCUGUGGGCAAUUACUAUUUUAAUCUUUUAUAUCAAGAUCAGUUUGGCAUCAACAAUGAGGAACUGGGUGAUGCCCGGCGAUGGGAACCAUCAAUGGUAUGCUGGAUACAACAGUCCAGACCAAGCGAUAGCUGCGCGGGAGACUUCUCCUAAAUGUGUUUCCUGGUUCUCUCUGUGUACAAGUGUGUACAAGACAGUUUACUCAUUCACUUUACUCAUUUACCUCUCAUGCCGAGUUCGUUUAAGCUUUAAACCAGCUGACAACAUUAACACAUACUAGCAACACACAGUAAAAUUAGCUACUUCUACAUUGAAAAAAAUGCUUUUAUGGCUAGCGCGCUAAUCGCGGUUAGCUUUUCUCUUUAACACACGAUGAUGACGUGUUUUCAGUUCAUCAAAGUUAGCUCCAACAUGUUGUUUGCCUGAAAAUGUCUUGUUCGGCGUUCAGUUGUUCUUAACGACACUCGGAGGAGUCGGCGGUUCAUUUUUUCCGGUUUCCACACUGAAAACUGAGUGAUCUGUGCCAACAGAGGGAGGACCUCAUGUACAGAGCAGCCCAUUUGUUUCCAUUCAUCUGGUUGUGGUGAAGGGAGACUGCAUGGACAUCCUUAGUUCUCAAAUGUGCUGUGAUGAUGAUGAUGAUGAUGCUAGAAAACCUCUCCCAGUUGAAUGACAGACUAACUGACGAGUUUGUUUAUUAUUCUGUCUUCAGUAUUCACAGGUAGUUUCUUACCUGCAACUUCAUUUCUGCUGUUGUUGACAGGGCCAGAAGUCCAGUCUAAUCAUCACCAAUGAUGGACCAGCACCAGCCUUUUCUUCUGCAUCUGGCCUCAUCAAUCAACAACCACAUUACAUCAACACCUUGAGGGAUGGCAGAAUCCACCUCAGACCAGAAACCAGCAAGAAACAGUAAGUCAUGCACAUGACUCCACCCCAUACAUGUAUAUAGGCUCAAAUUAGGGUCAAAAUAACUGAACUUGUAAAGUGACCACAACAAAUAAUUCCAAUGUUUGUAGCUGUAAAUCAACAUUUGUUAACCUGUAAAAUAAAUCUGCAUUACAAAUUCAAGUUUAAAAGUAGUUUGUUAUUGCAUUUCCACACAGAUCGUAGUCUAACGUUCAAGAUGAGUUAAAAUGAUAUUCUGUUUAUUACAUUUAAGUUGUUGUCAUA